GGGGAUUAGCUCAGUUGGGAGAGCGCCUGCCUUGCAAGCAGGAGGUCACGAGUUCGACUCUCGUAUUCUCC
rnacentral:tRNA from 7 species